UACGAAGGGGGCUAGCGUUGCUCGGAAUCACUGGGCGUAAAGCGCACGUAGGCGGAUUGUUAAGUCAGGGGUGAAAUCCUGGAGCUCAACUCCAGAACUGCCUUUGAUACUGGCGAUCUUGAGUCCGGGAGAGGUGUGUGGAACUGCGAGUGUAGAGGUGAAAUUCGUAGAUAUUCGCAAGAACACCAGUGGCGAAGGCGGCUCACUGGCCCGGUACUGACGCUGAGGUGCGAAAGCGUGAGGAGCAAACAGG
rnacentral:rRNA from 1 species